GAUCUUGAACCGGGCGCCGCCCCGCCAUAGAUUUGGCAUGUCCUUCGGGACUAUGGGCAUAAACGCGCACGUAAUACACGGACUGGACCCGGGGGCGGUACCCGGCGGCUCCACCAAACUUCCCUUGUUGGGGGAAUAUGGGGCCGAAACAGGAUCGACGGACGUCUAAAGGUGUUUGCUUUGUCCCGGUGAGAUACCACCGUUAUCGGUUCACAAAGCAUAGUUGCCAACAACAAUCAUGCUCCGGUGGCAGUUGCAGCGUAAGCUGUAGCCAAACCGAAAUCUAAGCCCUUGCGCCUAGCAGCGUAAGGCGG
rnacentral:tmRNA from 1 species